rnacentral:rRNA from 1 species
AGAGUUUGAUCCUGGCUCAGGAUGAACGCUGGCGGCGUGCCUAACACAUGCAAGUCGAGCGGGAAAUCCGUGACGGAUCCUUCGGGUGACGGAUCGGAUGGAGAGCGGCGGACGGGUGAGUAACGCGUAGGUAACCUGCCCUGUACAGAGGGAUAGCCACUGGAAACGGUGAUUAAUACCUCAUAAUGCCGGAUCUGCACAUGCAGGACCGGUCAAAGUUUUUUCGGUACAGGAUGGACCUGCGUCUGAUUAGCUAGUUGGUGGGGUAACGGCUCACCAAGGCGACGAUCAGUAGCCGACCUGAGAGGGUGAUCGGCCACAUUGGAACUGAGACACGGUCCAAACUCCUACGGGAGGCAGCAGUGGGGAAUAUUGCACAAUGGGGGAAACCCUGAUGCAGCAACGCCGCGUGAACGAAGAAGGCUCUUGGGUCGUAAAGUUCUGUUCUGAGGGAAGAAGAAAGUGACGGUACCUCAGGAGAAAGCUCCGGCUAACUACGUGCCAGCAGCCGCGGUAAUACGUAGGGGGCAAGCGUUGUCCGGAAUUAUUGGGCGUAAAGAGUACGUAGGCGGUCUGGUAAGCGCAAGGUGAAAGGCAUAGGCUCAACCAAUGUCAGCCUUGCGAACUGUCAGACUUGAGUGCAGGAGGGGAAAGUGGAAUUCCUAGUGUAGCGGUGAAAUGCGUAGAUAUUAGGAGGAACACCAGUGGCGAAGGCGGCUUUCUGGACUGUAACUGACGCUGAGGUACGAAAGCGUGGGGAGCAAACAGGAUUAGAUACCCUGGUAGUCCACGCCGUAAACGAUGAGCACUAGGUGUCGGGGCCGCAGGGCUUCGGUGCCGCAGUUAACGCAUUAAGUGCUCCGCCUGGGGAGUACGCACGCAAGUGUG